rnacentral:piRNA from 1 species
UUCGAUUCCCGGCCAAUGCAAAGA